GGAGAGGAGAGGAGAGGAGAGAAGAGAAGAGAAGAGAAGAGAAGAGAAAAGAGAAGAGAAGAGAAGAGAAGAGAAGAGAAGAGAAGAGACGAGAAGAUCAAACCAAGAUGUGAAGCUCUGUGGUCAGUGAGCUCUGAGAAAGAACAACAAUCAUCACUGCUUUCCAUAGCCAGUGUGUGGCGGGCACCACACCUCCACAGGGAAGACGGGAGACCUGAGGUGGCCUUGUCAGAGUCCCUCACAGGGCCCCCUGCCCCGACUAUGGACACAGGAAAUGGUUCCAAGAGCAGAGAAGUGUAGCCCUUGUGGGCUCAGUGUCCAAGACUAUACAAAAACUCGGGUCUGGAUGAGAAAGGCCAGUUCAAAACCUGUGUGCUAUGUGCUUCUUUUAAAAUUAGUGACAGAACUCAAACGUGCUGAAAGAGAGCCACAGAGCAGCGCAGUUACUCCUGUAAGAGAAAGGAACCCUGGUGAUGCUCACUCAGAAACUGCCAUGACACACCUUGUUCACAUUGCAGUCAAGCAGCAAUAUUAACCACAGUUAACAGUGGCCAGCGGUGACCACAGCAAGGGCUAGAGGCAAGAAGACCUUUGUUUUCUUUCUCCUGGCGCUGCAGCUAGUGGUCCCCCAAAAGCCCUUCCUUUGUGAUCUUUGUAGUAAAUAAGACUAUAAACCAGCGUCCGAGCUGAUUGAAGGUGGGUUUAAAGGGCAAGAGAAAAUGGUGGUUGUUUAAUGAUUAAACAGACACUUAUUACUGAACAUUUCGGUCGCUAUCUUUUAAAGUUUUAAGUCACUGCCCGUACGGAACGUGCCAACUGUGGGCAGAUGGGAAAAAAAGAAAGAAGGGAAAGAACCCGUUCACCUUGUGGCACACACGGAGGUAAACGGGUGCUGCCGCCUUAAAUCUCAAGGGUGAGCCCCGCUCUCCCGAGCCUCGAGCCUCGGAGGAGCCCUCCACUUCUCUCCCUACCUCCCAGGAAUUGAUUCUACAAAGUUAAACACGCAAUUUGUAAAGCUAUUGAGAAGUAAACUUGUCCGCAGUAACUGGAGGAGUUGCCAAAGGCUGAUAAAUCUUCAACCCAGAGGAGGAAACCCCAUGCUGCUCGGAAAACAAACGGCGCCCUGGCUGCAGGCCGCCCCUGUGGCUGCAAGCAGCCCUGUUGUUCCCCUUUGCUUGGGAAUUCUAGGGGCGAAAAUUCACACUUAAAAAAUUCAGCACUUCCUUAAUAAACAGCGUGAUUUAGUGGAGAUGCUGAUGGUCCUGGGUUAGCAUCCCUGAGAACGGAGAAAUUAUUUUGGGCUGAGCAAGUGCUUAAUGAGAAUAGAGGCUGUGUUGCUCAGAGUUGAUCAUAUAUUAUCCUCUGUAAUUUCUUCCCAAAAUAGACUUAAUGGAAAGAGGAUGCAUAAUAUCCCCCUUCUCUAAGGAAGCGCCUCCCCACCCCCCACCCCCACCCCCUACAACAGUCUUUCUAAAAACAGCUUUAUGGGCCUUCAGUCAAUAAUAGCUCUGUUUCAGCCCCUCUCACAUCUUACUUCCGCCAUGCAGGAACUCAUGUGGCGACAGACACAUUCACCUCCAGGUGGCACAGAGCUGAAAACGCCCAGGGUCUGCAGCUCAUGGCCUCCUGCAAAAAUCUACCGGAUGCCACAUGCCUCGAUCUUCACCUGAGCACUUUAUAGUGGUUUGCAUUUAACUUCUCUUCACUCCACAAGGAUAAAGAGUGAAGAACUGUGUGCCAGCCUAGGAUUGAUCUCCUUUCAGGGAGCAAUCGCUAAAUGCCCCUACUGGGUCUGAUGCUCAGACCCAAAAGGCAGAUAAGAACAUAGGCACAGAGUGGGAACUCUGGCGUCCAGACUGCUUCAACUCAGUCUCAGCCACGCAGGUGAGAUUGGGGUCGGGUGACUUUCCCAAGGACUUGGAAAUGAACUGUUCUAGGGGGUCCUGUGUGUGUUUCCCUCAGUGUAGUUCCGAAACCACCAGUAGGGCAUUUUCUCCAGCUGCUCAGAUCUAACAGCAUCCUGAAGGCGGAUCCAGUCCCGGUGAUGAGUUGUGAUGACUUGUGUAGGAAUGUUUUGCAACUUUGUAGACACAUUCUAAGUACAAGGUAUAACCUGCUGGUAGUUAGACUCCAAAGCAAGGUGGCAAAGGCUAUCACUUAGAACACACCGCUGCGUUUAUAUCAGAAACUGCAGGAAAAUGUACCUUUGAGCAGUAACAUAAUUAAUUAAAAGAGUUAGAAGUUUUUUUC
rnacentral:lncRNA from 1 species